GUGCCCUCUUGGGAAACCCUAUUUUUGGGUCAGGGGUUAGAGUUAGGACUAAGGUGUGAAUUGAGUUUUGGUUAGGCUUAGGGUUAGGAAUGUGAUGGUUAGGUUUAGGAAAAUGGUAAAGGUAAGGUUUAGGCUGUAGAAAUGA